AGGAUGAACGCUGGCGGUCUGCCUAACACAUGCAAGUCGAACGUCCUGUCUCGCAAGAGGCAGGGAGUGGCGGACGGGUGAGUACCACGUGGGUCAUCUACCGUGAGGUGAGGAAUACCGGCGAGAAAUCGCCGACAAGACCGCAUAGGCUCGAUGCAAGUCGAGCAAAGCUCUUUCGAGAGAGGGAGCGCCACACGAGGAGCCUGCGCCCGAUUAGCUAGCUGGUGGAGUAACGGUUCACCAGGGCGACGAUCGGUAGCUGGUCUGAGAGGACGAUCAGCCACACUGGGAUUGAGAACGGCCCAGACUCCUACGGGGGGCAGCAGUGAGGAAUUUUCGUCAAUGGGGGCAACCCUGAACGAGCAACGCCGCGUGCAGGAAGAAGGUUUUCGGAUCGUAAACUGCUUUUCUCGGGGAAGAGAACGGACGGUACCCGAGGAAUCGAGCCCGGCUAACUACGUGCCAGCAGCCGC
rnacentral:rRNA from 1 species